rnacentral:ncRNA from 1 species
CUCAUCUAGAGUAGUGGAGGGACAGGCCCUGUGAAACUACAGCAACCCACCCCUAAGGGGAAAGGUGCUAAUUCCGACGGCAAUUUUGCCGCAAGAUG